rnacentral:rRNA from 1 species
UACGUAGGGGGCAAGCGUUGUUCGGAAUUACUGGGCGUAGAGGGCGCGUAGGCGGCACGGCAAGUCGGGAGUGAAAGGCCUGGGCUCAACCGAGGAACUGCUUUCGAGACUGCCGAGCUAGAGUGCGGAAGGGGCAACUGGAAUUCCCAGUGUAGCGGUGAAAUGCGUAGAUAUUGGGAAGAACACCGGAGGCGAAGGCGGGUUGCUGGGCCGACACUGACGCUGAGGCGCGAAAGCCAGGGGAGCAAACGGG